GGUUGUAUAGUGUAGUGGUUAUCACCUUCGGUUUUGAUCCGGAUGACCCCGGUUCGUAACCCGGGUACGACCU
rnacentral:tRNA from 3 species